rnacentral:rRNA from 1 species
GAUCUACCCAUGUCCAGGAUGAAGGUAAGGUAAUACUUACUGGAGGUCCGAACCCACGCACGUUGAAAAGUGCGGGGAUGAGGUGUGGGUAGCGGAGAAAUUCCAAUCGAACUUGGAGAUAGCUGGUUCUCUCCGAAAUAGCUUUAGGGCUAGCCUCGAGGUAAAGAGUCAUGGAGGUAGAGCACUGUUUGGACUAGGGGCCCUUCUCGGGUUACCGAAUUCAGAUAAACUCCGAAUGCCAUGUACUUAUACUCGGGAGUCAGACUGCGAGUGAUAAGAUCCGUAGUCGAAAGGGAAACAGCCCAGACCACCAGUUAAGGUCCCCAAAUAUAUGUUAAGUGGAAAAGGAUGUGGGGUUGCUUAGACAACCAGGAUGUUGGCUUAGAAGCAGCCACCAUUGAAAGAGUGCGUAAUAGCUCACUGGUCGAGUGACCCCGCGCCGAAAAUGUACCGGGGCUAAACAUAUU